rnacentral:misc_RNA from 1 species
UUAAGUUCAGCGGGUAGUCCUACCUGAUUUGAGGUCAAAUUCGUCAAAUAUAUUGGCUGUUAGAAGCGGUGCAAUCUGCUCAUGCAGCAUACCAAAGGCAUAGAUAACUUAUCACACCUAAAUGGUAUAGUAGUUCUGCUCAGAUACCACUAAUGCAUUUCAGGGGAGCCGACCUCAGGGUCAGAGGCCUGCACAAAACC